rnacentral:piRNA from 1 species
UGCCACCGGAUGAUUUUGCUACUUUG